UUUCCAACCGUGUAUACCUGUGUGUCACUCCUCUCGGACAAGACUCAACCAGGGAACAGUUGGGGAGAAAGCUCCAGGCAGCCUGGGAACAAGACUAGGGAAAGGCACCUGGCAGCCUCAGACAACUGAAAAUACGCAAACUGGAAUGAUGGGAGCAUGAAAGGAUUUGUAACAGUCUUGUAGUGUUCCAGUGGCUGACAUCAAACUCUCGAUACUUCCGCCUCAGUCUUACCAGCAGCUGGAAUUAUAGACGUGGGACACCGUGUCUUGAGAGCUGGGGUUCUUUUUAAAGGUAAGCGUACCCUGCGACAUCGCAAGUGGCC
ensembl:lncRNA